CCUACGGGGGGCAGCAGUGAGGAAUAUUGGUCAAUGGACGGGAGUCUGAACCAGCCAAGUAGCGUGAAGGAUGACUGCCCUAUGGGUUGUAAACUUCUUUUAUAUGGGAAUAAAAUGUUCCACGUGUGGGAUUUUGUAUGUACCAUAUGAAUAAGGAUCGGCUAACUCCGUGCCAGCAGCCGCGGUAAUACGGAGGAUCCGAGCGUUAUCCGGAUUUAUUGGGUUUAAAGGGAGCGUAGGUGGAUUGUUAAGUCAGUUGUGAAAGUUUGCGGCUCAACCGUAAAAUUGCAGUUGAAACUGGCAGUCUUGAGUACAGUAGAGGUGGGCGGAAUUCGUGGUGUAGCGGUGAAAUGCUUAGAUAUCACGAAGAACUCCGAUUGCGAAGGCAGUUCACUGGACUGCAACUGACACUGAGGCUCGAAAGUGUGGGUAUCAAACAGGAUUAGAUACCCGAGUAGUC
rnacentral:rRNA from 1 species